rnacentral:sRNA from 1 species
GCUGGGUGUGGUGGCGCACACCUGUAGUCCCAGCUACUCAGGAGGCAGAGGCAGGAGGAUCACUUGAGCUCAGGAGGUCAAGGCUGCAGUGAGCUAUGAUCACACGACUGCACUCCAGCCUGGGUGACACAGUGACAUCUUGCAUCUUAAGAAAAGUUGGGUGUGGUGGCUCAUGCCUGUAAUCCCAGGAAUUUGGGAGGCUGAAGUGGACAGAUUGCUUGAGCCCAGGAGUUUGAGACCAGCCUGGGCAACAUAGUGAAACCCCAUCUCU